rnacentral:lncRNA from 1 species
UCAUGUAGUUACCAAAAUGGUCACUUAUCUAAUUUAUAUUCCUCACAAUUUCUCAUCAGCCUACAAAACAGUUACACAUGCACCAUGUGUUAUAGUGCUGCUCCAUAUAAUUUCGAAUUCGAAUAAUCAAGUUUCAAUAUAAAUAUUCAAUAGAGUAAAUAAAAAAUAAAAAACUUAAGCGAGCAUGGACUCCGCUCGCUGGGACAAUUCCAGUGACUCCUGGUAAUCAACCAAUCCGAGUUCGUGACUCGGAAGCAACUCCUUUUCAAAUUCAAUUACAUUCUUCGAUCCAGCGACGUUCUCGUUCUCUGGCAAGUUGUUUUCGGCGUUAACAUUGUCAUCGGAAGAUAAAACGGUAGGAGGAAGACCGAGCUCCUUAUCCGAAGCUUCUAGAAGAUAGCCGAGGUCUGGUUGAGAAUCAACGGAAUCGAGAUUAGUUUGUUGAAUUGACGGAUGAACAAUCUCUUCUUCAAAGCUCUUAAUCACCGAAUCCAGAUCUUCAACCUCCUGUAAACGGUUUUGAGAGCAGAUUGAAGACUCAUCGAAGCGGUUUGGACUCAGCGUUCUCCAGACCAUUUGGUACGUCCUCUUGAUUUCGAGGAUGCUACAAUUUUAGUCUAGAAUUAGUAAUUAGACAUAGAUAAUGGAUGUUGUCUCUAGCGUUUCUUCAUACAUGUAUUCUAAGCUUUGUAAUAAGGUCGUUUUGGCAAACUACUAUGUUAUGUUAUUCUUUGAUUUGAAUUGAUUCCGCAAUUGUUAGAUGGU